rnacentral:rRNA from 1 species
AUGCAUGUCCUAAUUUCAGCACUUCAAGUUAAUAUCUGUCGUUCGUUCGUCUCAACGAUUUUCAGCUAGAAGGAUAUGCGUGGAUUAGGGUGGUUUUGAAGCCAUGCUUGUUUAUCCUAUGAGCAACUAUAUUUAGCCUGGAAAUAUUGUGCAGUAAAUAGUGUAUGAUAUGAGUUAUGAUUAUGAGUAAUAGUAUGGGAGACUUCAAGUGUAACCAACGAGGUAUGUCAGGGAUCUAUAAGUGUACUUCCUUGAAUGAUGCUUCCAAUUUUCUUCUCUUUUUUGUGCUUCCUUCAACAGGCCUUGACUGAUAUUAAUCACAACAGAAUGUGCCUUCUUAUUUCUGAACUAUUAUUCUUUUUGUUACAGCCAGUACAAUAUUAAUGCAAAAGGUGACACCAUCGACCACUCAAGCCGACAUAGCUUCAUUAGCUGCUGGCAUUACAGUUGACAAAUCAGUCGAGUUCACAUACCAAGAACUUUUCAAUGCUACAGAAGGCUUCAACAUAACUCAUAAAAUAGGACAAGGUGGUUUUGGUGCUGUCUAUUAUGCUGAGCUUGUAGGCGAGGUUAGUUCAAAAAAUAAUAAUUCAGUUGCAUUUCAGAAAUCUAUAUGCCAAAAACAUGUGUACUUAACUAGGGGCUUGAACAAUGGCGGAAUAACAUAACUCAGUGAAGGUCCAUGAUUGCAAUCAUGCAACAUCAUGAUAUGUUCUUCAUUCAAAAUGACUUGCUUCGUUUCACUUGUGUUGUCCACUGUCCAGAAAGCCGCCAUAAAAAAAAUGGACAUGCAGGCUACUCAAGAGUUUCUUGCUGAGUUAAAGGUUUUGACACAUGUUCACCAUCUGAAUCUGGUGCGCUUGAUUGGUUAUUGCACAGAGAGUUCUUUGUUCCUUGUCUAUGAAUUUAUCGAGAAUGGAAACUUAAGCCAGCAUUUGCGUGGAACUGGUUAUGAGCCUCUUUCUUGGGCUGAAAGUGUUCGGAUUGCGCUAGAUUCAGCAAGAGGUCUUGAGUACAUUCAUGAGCAUACCGUUCCAGUCUACAUACAUCGGGACAUCAAAUCCGCAAACAUCUUGAUAGACAAGAACACCCGGGCAAAGGUUGCAGAUUUUGGUCUGACAAAGCUUACAGAAGUUGGCGGUGCAUCUUUGCAAACACGUGUUGUUCGUACAUUCGGUUACAUGCCUCCGGAAUAUGUUCGAUACGGUGAUGUUUCUCGUAAGGUUGAUGUGUAUGCCUUUGGUGUUGUCUUGUACGAACUUAUCUCAGCCAAAGAUGCCAUUGUCCGACCAACCGAUGGAUCUGCUAGUGGUUCAAGGGGACUGGUUUAUCUGUUUGAGGAGACUCUCACUGCAUCGGAUCCGAAAGAAGGCCUCCAGAAGCUGAUCGAUCCGAAGCUGGGAGAUGAUUAUCCCAUGGACGCCAUCCUCAUGAUGACACACCUGGCGAACGCAUGCACGGAGGAGGACCCCAAGAUGAGGCCCACGAUGAGGUCCGUGGUUGUCGUGCUGAUGACGCUCUCUUCCAUGAGCGAGCUCUGGGAUAUGAAAAACCCGGGCUUGGUGAACAUCAUGUCUGGGAGAUGACCUCAUUACCCACAUGUCUCCCCUGGCUGGCAUUGUAGAUCAGGCCACAUUUCCUUUCUGUCAAGAAGUAAACACGCGCCUUGCAUAGCCCUUUUUUCUUGCAUGAAAAGCUAAAUAGAAAAUUAGAUACAUUUUUUUCAACAAGGAAGAUAACGUCCGGCCUCUGUAUAGGAAAUUAGAUACAUGCAAUGAGACAUGUGCAUGUGUGUCACGCACACCAGGGCAACCGCACCAACCAGUGGGACAGAUGGAGCGAUGGGUCACGCGACGAGCGCGUGACUGAAGUGAACAGCGUGUGUGUGUCGCUGCCCAGUGGGCCAGAGGGGUUGGUAGCAGCCUGCGUGCCGUGGUGGUGUUAUAGGCCGCUGAGUCCGCGAGCGUGAGGGUUAUGCUGUGUAAUGACUGUUGAGAUGUAGAUACAUAUGUGUAUUUCUUGUACAACAAGCCCUCCUUCUUUCAUGUAUAGUUGAGGACGUGGCUAUCCUUUGUACUUAUAUAUGUGCAUAUUGCA